rnacentral:lncRNA from 1 species
GUGUUUGAAAAAUUUCCAGGUUAUGAAUAAAAUUGUGCUUGGGAGUAAAAUUGGUAAGCGGAAGGCAGCCGGACUUUGGAGAAUGACGAGAGGGUUGAAGACCAGCAUCCACUAGUAGGACUAGGUAGACAUAUAUAUACCAAGAGUAGUCUUACUCUAGCUGGUCUUGAGUUUCUCUGUAGUCUAGUCCAAGAACAUUGAGAACCCACCCUCCAGUCUCCAGUCUCUUCUAGCGAGGACCGAGAACCUCAUGGAGACUGAAGCUGAAAGGACGAAGGACCGAGAGUCCGGCGAGCAGCAACCACAAGUCAACUUUGUCUCUCUCAGCUCCUGGCGAGGACUUGGGGAUGGUGGUUGUCUCUCCUUAGGCAAUCAACCCUUCGUCUUACUGCAUUACUGACCGUCUUGCGUACUCUUGUGCUCCAAGUACACAUCUACAACAGAGAACAGAGUUUAGGUCUAGUGUUAUGUGUAUAGAUGCUCCUGUGCUGACUUUACGCUAUAUACAUUAACUGUCGAGCGUAAAGAGUGCUUCCAGCUGAAAUCGAUUACCUACCUACCGAGAUAAUUAAUUACCAAAGGACCAGACCGAAAAUACCGGCCUACAGCCUGGAACUUGUUGAGUCGCUUACGGAAAAAUUUUAUUAAAUGUCGGGACAAGCUGAGGCAGCUUCGUGGUUUUUUUAUUUGUUUUUUAAUAGCUAAGUUUAUUUUUAUUUUUAAACUUUCAGGUUUUUUUGGUCAAGGAACAUCAAAGGAUUAGAUGAGUAAAGAUGUUAGUUUGUAGAUUUAUCGAAAUUCUAGAGUGUUACCGGCUUCAAAGGUGAUAAUCUCGGCUUCCUAUCUUUCCGCAAGUCUUUAAAGAACUCUUGCUAAGAGUCGAGGUAAAAUCCGCUCGGAUGAGAGUAAAGACUUUUGGUAAAAGAAUCCCGUUCAAUUGAGUCCUGGAAAACGAUAGGUCAAUAUCAAUCUUUAAUGCAAAUUGCUUAGACCCGAGUAAUCUGUUUUCUGUCUCAGUUGCGCUGGUGCUGAGACUGGCGAAGAUUAGCGAAGUGAAGAGAGAGAAUGAAAACCGAUGAGGGAGAAGAUGAUAAAAAAGAAGAAAAAAGGCGAGUCGAGCAACGUGGCCAGUACCAUGACCAGCGCAAUCCCGUUGUUCCUUUUUUUUAUACCCGUACUUUCUCACACCCGAUUUCUUUGCAUAUUACAAGUUGUAAUUACGGCUAAUGUGGACGAAAAACCUGUUUCGGUACAACUGUGUGAGGAGAUUGAGAUAAAUUAGAUGCUGAGGAAGACGAUGUACAAGAAGAAGAAGAAGAAGAAGAAGAAGAAGAAGUUGAACUUUGAAACUCGUGACCAGGAGGAGGAUCAAACGGAGGGCUAUAAAAUCAAGCAACCCUUUUCAUGUCCAAACUUGUAAUCAUGCUUUUGUAAAGGUUUUCCGUUAGGUGGCGCGCGCAAUCAAGACGGCAGUUACCGAAGAAGACGGAACUCGGCAGAAAGCAAAGUGCUGAGGUAAUUAAUUGUUGUUUAAUUGUUUUAGAAUGUUAUUAUUCAUCUCUGUGGGAUAAUUUGACAUUUAAGACAGUAAUUAUCUGGUAAUUGUUGACUAUCGUGAUUUCUAAAGAGCAUCGCUGGUUGAGAGAUUGUUUUAUACUAAAAGUACCAAGUGAUUUUUUUAAAAAUUAGUUUCGGUUUUUUUGACAUUUUUAAGUUUUGUGAAGUGUGUAAAAGUGAGUGUAAGUGUUUAUUUGUUGUGAAGUGAGAAAAAUUUUGGGAAAAAAGUGUUUAAAUACGCAGUCGCACAAGAAGCCAACGCGCAUGCGCAGAUUAAAUCUACGACGGAAAAUGGCGGGUAUGAUUGCGCAGUUUUAGUCAGUUGGAGGCUGUUUGAAGUAUUGUUGAAGAAAAUA